rfam:Bacillus galactosidilyticus strain PL133 scaffold000103, whole genome shotgun sequence.
AAAAGUCCGUCCGGGUGCUUGAGGAAUCAGGCUGAGAUAGUAGCUAUUAUCCGCUACUGACCGUUAAUCUGAUCUGGGUAAUGCCAGCGUAGAGAGUGAUGUAUUCAUCAUA